ensembl:lncRNA
ACUGCAGGGCAGGGACGAAUGAUGGAAUAGGACUGUCUCUUCAGCUGCAGUGCCAGCUUAUGCCAGUUUAAAAUAAUCCUGAAUCUAGGGCAUUAUUGAUUCUGUUUGUUCUUUCCAGAAACGCUAUUCGACGAGCAAGGUUACCACCGCGGAGGCCUGACUUUCUUCUGGAAUCUCUAGAAAACAAGGAACUGCUGGGGCCUCCUUUUACAAGGUAGAAAAUCUGUUUUAAAAAGUAAAGAAAAAGAGAGUGACUUACAGUCACUUGUGCUAUGCUUAUCCCCUCACCUUCAUAAUGCAAAACGUUUAGUUCUGCAACCAAAUAGCAACCAAGGACUUUGUUUUGUUAGUGAGAGGAUUCGAGGGGAAGAUAGGGCACAUCACUUAUUUCCAAAAUUAAUGGGCUUAGUUAAUAAGUAAAGUUUCCUAUUCUGUCAGUCUUGCCAUAUAAACUCAGAAGUUUGAGUUGUGCAGGAUGCUUUUGGCUCAUAGAUCAUACUUGCUCCACGGCAGGUUCAGGUCUGGAUUUAACUAAUGUACUGGGGAAUUGUUAGCGAUUCUGGUAAUGCAGAGCCAGGACCAAAUAUCUAUCCAUUUCCUAUCAAGACCUAGCUGAGAUCGCUGCUUCUGCUCCCCUCUUUCUCUUGUCCCCAAACCAAAAUAAGGCAGGAAUUUGUUAAUGGGUAGAAUUCACAGCCCUAAAGAAAUUGUUUCAGCCUGGAUUAACGUGGAGGAUUUGGAGCAGGGCAGGUAGGAGUAACGGAAACCAUAACUGUUUUGCUGCUUUUUUAUUAUUUUUUUUUUAAACCACUGUGGUGUUUUUUUUUUUUUUUUUUUUUUUUUUAAUUGGGGUUUCCCCUGCUUAGUAAAGCAGCUCACUGGAAAUCUGUAUGCAAGGGAAUAACGAGAUUCUCUCUCUUUUUGCACUGACUGCAAAGGGUGAGACCAACAGGUUGCAAUGUACAGGGACCUCAUCCUUCUCCCUUUACAGGUCAGAGGCACCCUUCCAGCAAACAUCUGUGGACAAAAGUUCUGUGCAGAGGGGGAGCUUAAUGCCAACACUUCAAACGGAAGAAAGUACCUGUAAAUGUCUCUCUCAAAUGGGCAGUGCCACUCGUUCUGAUCCACUUCUCACACACGCUGCUCUCCCCUCUGGACCUCUGUGGACACAUGAUGUGGGCCGUGCUGUUCAGAGGCCAGAGCUACGUUCUCCUUCAUCCUUCAUGCCCCAAAUAAAAGCUGGAGCAGAAAUGAGAGGAGAUCAGCCUGUGAGUGCUCGCCAGGGAGCCCAAGACUUUCAGCUGGAGUCUGUGGAGAAGAAGUUGCGACCAAACUUGCAGCCACAUUUGCUGUUACCUGAGGACUUGGUGGAAAAAUGGAGUCACCAAACUGCAGCUGAAGGGGGAGAAAGGGAGCACGGUUCCAGAGAAGAAAUGGCGUUGCAGAGAAAGCUGGAAGUUGAACUGCGACACAUCCAGCAGCAGAUGCAGUACUACUUCAGCAGGAAGCAGGAACUCAGGUCCUGUCAGCAGCAGGCACAGAUUCUACAGAAGUGGCUGGAAAUGAGCACACAACCAGAGGACCAAGAUGAUGGGGUACAAGGAGCUUGGGAAGAAUUGGAUCAGGUGUGUAAAUAG